GGAAGUUCUCUGUGCCCAUUGACUGCUGUUUCUGACAGUCGUAUCGGGAAAGUGAAGAGUUGCAACCCCGGAGUUUAAGGACGUGGAGUAUGGCGGCCUGGGUGUCCCCAGGGCCUCUAUCUCGAAUGGUCCUAAUGGAAGCAACUAAAACCUAUUAUGAAAGAAGACAUUCUUCAGUGAUCAAAGAGGAAAUGAAAACAUGAGCCUUAGGAGAAAGGGGCCGCGACCUUACAUCAUCAAGGACGUUUUAAGAUAUGUGUCAAACUAUUACAACCAGAGGGUGGGCAUCCAUACCUUCUCCUGACUCGACCCUUCAGGAAAAAUCGCCCGCUCUUUAUGCCCGUCUGGUUCCACUCCUGCUUGGAGUAGAUGCCUGGUGCCCCUCACAACAGCCCCGACGAGCCACUGCCCUCGGAUCAGAAGGCUCGGGCUUCCUGUUUUCCCUGUAAGGGAGGCGGUGGCCCGAGGAGCAGGCGAUGAGAGUCCACGAGAGUUUUUCAGUAGAUAACACAGCAAUUCAGAAACCAGUGUUGCCGGAAUUGUGAACUUUUAAUCUUUUCAUGCAUGAUGUCAUUUAAUCCAGAUUUUGAAAAGAAGGGGCCGCCGUAUAAAGAAGCAGGCACUGACUGGCCUGAAAUAUCCCAGGAAAAUCUGGUUUCAGAUUUUUCUAGGAGUUGAUCCAAGAACAUUUUUCUUUGUGCCUUUUGAUCUGUUGAAAGAUACGCAAGAUACUUGGAGGCCUUGAAGGCACAGAUGCCAACAUGCAAAGAAACGUAGACAAGCUGCCUCAUCCAGGAAGCCAGCACUCAGAGGAGGGCAGGAACUUGAACUUUUUUGUCUGCCGCCUGACCUCACACCCACCUUGGUAGUUUUUCUGUGAACGGGUUCUGUUUCUUCUGGGUUUGAGCGGGAUUGGUAGAAACUGAGGUAACGUCCUUGCUGCCUGCAGUUUUUAGCUCCUCCUCAUCUUUCUUAACUUCCCCGUCCCUUCUCCACUUCUGAGAGCAAGGGGUUGCAUGCCCCUUUGCCUCCCUUCAAAGAACAUUUGGCUGGAGUGGAGGAGCGGCACUGAGGGUGCUCUUCUUUUUAUAGAGACACUUUUAUAUAAACAUACAAUGGUCGGAGGUCGCUUGGAGGCCGCCGAACCAAGCUGGCAGGAAGUGGGUCCCCGAGAGGCCCCCAACCCCCCCCUGCUAGGGGGCCUGCGCAUGCACAGAAGCACCUUCCAGAGAGCACCUGCAUCCUUCAAGUGUAGCAGAGACCACUUAGAGAGUUUUGUUUUCUCUCCCUGACACUGCGGGAGGUGGGAACGGGGCGAAGCAGAUUCCCUCUACCGGGAGGAUCCCGGAAGAACACAUUUGUGUGUCACGACCUUGACCUACCUGCCUUGGACCCCACUCUUC